AACGGCCUCUCCUCAGAAGAUGGACGCGCGCGUGGGCGGACCCGCGCCUGAGGGCCGCCAUGGUUGUGUCCGUCCUUGUGGCGAGCGAGCCAAGGACAGGGGAGGGGCGGAGAUGCACCCGUCGUCCUGGUGGCUGUUCGGGACGAGCACCUUGGGCGACGGCCGCGGCCGGCGGGAGGAGCUCGGCAUGCCGCAGGAAGAAGAGAUGGUGGUCGCCUGUCCGGAACUGUUGUUGCCGGCGCCGGCGACGUCCCCGAGCUGUUGCUGCCAUCCACGACUCGGCCAUGCUGCUGCCGACGACCUCCCCAACCUGCAGCUGCCCUCUGAGGCUGCUGUUGGGGACAAGAAGCUUGGGCGUUGGCUGCGGCCGGCGGGAGGAGCUCGCCACGCCGCAUGAAGAAGAGAUGGUGGUCGCCUGUCCGGAACUGUUGCUGCCGGCACCGGCGACGUCCCCCGACCUAUUGCUGCCUUCCACGACUCCUUCAUGCUGCUGCCGACGACCUCCCCGACCUGCAGCUGCCCUUUGAGGGUGUUCUGGAGCAGGGGAGAGGCCGAGGGGGUGACUUUGGGUCUGGGCAGUGAUGACCAUCCCAACCAACUUGGCCAAGCACCAAGUCAACCUGCAGGUGGCUCCCAUCAUAGCCAAGAUCAUGGCGAAGGUCAACGACGGGUCCUAGUGAAUGUCAUGAGCUCACCAUGCUGCAACCGUGGUGGCGGUGACGCUCAUCCUCGUGGACGACCUCUUAGAGCUCGAUGCUUUGGAAGCCAAUAUGGAGUUCAAAUCGAAUCCAGUCCCAUGUUACCUUCAACCAGACUAGGAGUGGUCAUGUAGCAGCCCUAAACCGGUAGCAGGCUUCUUUGAUCUGGAGAACGGAAACCAGGAGCUCAAGAGUGACCUUAAGCACCUCCACAUGAACACUACAACAAUGCAGACUUGUAAAUCCUCGAUAUUUGGCCCAGGUGAUGCAGCUGAUGGAGGGAGGAAGCCAAGUGGCUCCGGCGGCAUGGUCUUGGUCGCCAAAAAGCAGCCCAGAUGUGUUGCUGCUUGCCUCUAGCUGAUUUGGUUCUGAUAUUAUCGGUCGGUUCCGGUGGCUGUGGCUGUGGUUCCGCUGCUGCUUUUGUUUCUGUAGAACUGCUUCAGUUUUUAUGACAUGCAGCAUUGAAAUUGCAUCGUUCCUUUUGGUCCAAAUCAGGACUUGUAAUAGUUUGCCUCAUUCGUGACUUCCA